UGGGAGUAGCGGUCUUACAUGAAGCUUUGGAGGGUUUAGGACGGCUUUAGGAGUAUGAAGGGAGAAAUCUGCCCACUUGGUCUGGAGUAGAGGGAACGAGGGGAACAUGCAUUUCUCCGUUGUUGGAAUAGCAUCCGCCCUGGAACUUUCUGACAAGAGCAAAGUGUUCACCAGUGGACAUGGAGCAGUGUGGGGGGACUGUGAUUUACAGAUAGCACCGCGUCUCCUCUGCUGGCAGGCCAUCAUUACGACGAGCACGAGGAGAUGGGUGCUGUGGGAAAAAAGACCUUUUGGAAAAUGUCAGAGAGAAACAGUCAGAGCCCCAAAUUUCUUUCAUUCACUAUUUCCCCUGUGAUGUUUCCUCCUCUAAACUCCUUAAUUAUCAUUAUCAUUAUUAUUAUUAUUAUUACUAUUAUUCUGUUUUGUAUCUAAGUGCAGUGUCAGAUUUCAGAGCAUGUGGAUUUUAUUUUAUUUUUUGCUUAUGUGGUUUACCUGAAGAUCGAAUGUAACAAAAAAACACCAGCUCUGUAUUUCACCCA